AUGUUCAUGUAGAAGGCUGCCAGUGGAGGUGGACAUAAGAGGACAAUGCGGGAAGUCGGCUCUCGCCUUUCACUAUGUGGGUCUGAGAGAUGAAACUCAAGUCAUCAAGUAUGGUGACCGGCACCCUUAAGGACUGAGACGUUAACUGCCACCCUCUUGGGAGUCUGCCACUACUAUCCACCUGUGACGUGGAAACAGGACUCUGCUUCACUCUGUGACAAGGCCCUGGUCUGCUCUCUAUAUCCUGUUCAGAGGCUGAUGCAUAAUUGUUACCAAACAAGCAUUCUCCAGACAGAGAGCAGCUCCGUGCAGAUCACAGAGCAACUUGAACUCCAGUCUAAAUACUUUGAGUAUUAUUCUGUUGGCAAAGAGGACGUGUUUGAAAGGCUUUGCUGGCAGCGGUGUGGAAUACAGACCGGGCCAAGGACGGGAAGAAGAGAACACCCAGGAGCUCUUGCAGGAACACAGGCAGAGUUGCGUGAGGCAGAAUUUGAGCAGAGGCUGAGUAUCUGCGGUGGGGAGGACACAAAGAUAAUUAAUGUGUGUUAUUAUCUCCAGGGUCUAGAUGGCCCCGGGCUCGCAUUCAGUAUAGAGAUUGUCAGGAGUUGGAGUCUGGCAAGUGUGUUAGGAGUUCUGUGCUUAUGUGCCCAGAGGCAGAUGGAAGAGGGGUACCCUUUCUCAAUGCUUGGACAGAAUAGAUACAGGGAAACAAGUGAAUGUCUGUUAUUUCCUUGUAAUGCAAACAGAAUCCCUAAAGUACACACAGGAGUAUUCUUUUCCCUCCAUAUUUUGGACAGAAUUUCACAAUUGUGAGAAAACCAUGAUUGUCUAUAUGGAACACGCUCAGUGCAUCGGUGCAUGAGUCAGUUAAAGUGAACAGCGUCUGCUUUCAGCUUCAUCCUUGAAAGCAACCCAGGUUCCAAGGCUGAGGCUUGAGCACAUCAUUCUCGCCGGGCCUCUGGACCGAAUCCAGGUUAGAAGAAUUGGUCUGUGACUCAGAUACAUCAUAUACACUCCAGGAAAUCCUUUUCUUUUUUCUUUCUGAGCUUUUACAGACCUUGACUAUAAGGUAAGCAAUUUACAUUCUUCCCUGUGACUUUUGGCCAGAUGUCUGCUAUUGUCACUGCUUUGUGAGACCCAACCACCUGGGAGCCCAGUUAUGUGGACUGGACUUGGAUUUGUCAGGGUUCUCCCUGGGGCUGGCCUGAGAUUUAUCAUCAAUAAUAUUCCUUUUCCCCCCGGGGACUUCGCCGCAGCUGUUCACCAUGAAGCCCAGGUACACAUUAACUCCUACCUCCCAGGGGGAGAAAGCAGAGAGAAACAUAUUCCUGAACUGUUUCCAUAUCAGCUUUGCUAGAAGAGUAAUCAGAAACUGAUUUGCAAGAAGAAGUACAUCUGGGAAGCAUUAUAAACCAAGGCUGGAGCUGCACACAGUGUGUGCACAUGCACUUUGUCCAGGAAGAGAAGCUAGAAGCUGGAGUGAUAGGUUUGAGAGGACAGGCUGAAGGAAGUAGCCACUGGAUGUUUGUGUAACAGUAAUAAACAACAAAAAUAACAU
rnacentral:lncRNA from 1 species